rnacentral:SRP_RNA from 1 species
CACUAUUCCGCCCGAUCUCAAGGGCAUCAUGGGACAAACCAUGCGCAAGGAUUAC